rnacentral:rRNA from 1 species
AGUGAACGCUGGCGGUAGGCCUAACACAUGCAAGUCGAACGGCAGCACAGUAAGAGCUUGCUCUUACGGGUGGCGAGUGGCGGACGGGUGAGGAAUACAUCGGAAUCUACUUUUUCGUGGGGGAUAACGUAGGGAAACUUACGCUAAUACCGCAUACGACCUACGGGUGAAAGCAGGGGAUCUUCGGACCUUGCGCGAUUGAAUGAGCCGAUGUCGGAUUAGCUAGUUGGCGGGGUAAAGGCCCACCAAGGCGACGAUCCGUAGCUGGUCUGAGAGGAUGAUCGGCCACACUGGAACUGAGACACGGUCCAGACUCCUACGGGAGGCAGCAGUGGGGAAUAUUGGACAAUGGGCGCAAGCCUGAUCCAGCCAUACCGCGUGGGUGAAGAAGGCCUUCGGGUUGUAAAGCCCUUUUGUUGGGAAAGGAAAGCAGCAGGUUAAUACCCCGCUGUUCUGACGGUACCCAAAGAAUAAGCACCGGCUAACUUCGUG